rnacentral:misc_RNA from 1 species
CAACGGUUGUAUUCUAAAAUUUCUCGUAGUACAGUGUAGAUAGAAACGAGCCAGAGACUAGCCUGACUUGCCUUCAUUUGGCUUUGGAAUUCUUUUGUACUCGUAGUUGUUUAUGUCCACUUUCUUUUGCAAAGCCUUUAACUCCUCUUCCAGUGUAGUCUUUUUAGGAUUGUAUGCUUCUACAGGCCCUGUUCUAGAUAAUGCUUUUCUUGUCUCAAUAAUCUCCCAUUCUUGAUCAUCCUUCACCUUUGCAAUAUCCUUGCUGCCUUGCAACAAAUGACCAAGGCCUACUGCCCCAAAGACAGUGAGUGAAAUCAUGGGAAGCCCAUAUCUGACAAAUGGAUGCUUCCUUCCCCAUCUUUCGAAUGACGAAGCUGAACUUUGAAUCUUAGCAGUGGCAGUAGAAACCUUAUUUUUCGGAGGCUGAUCCAUUUCUGUUUCAAUAGUUGUCAUCUUCCUAAACCAUGAGAAGGCUGUCAGUGCAGUAUAACAACUCUUGUAAUGCCAUUCAAGCUAAACUGCAAUGAAUAGUAUCUAUUUUCCCCUAUACAUGCAGUAAAGACAUCCCAUGUGGCUCACAACAAAAAAAAAGGGGCGCAAGCAUUUAUACAUCUUAAAAUGUCAACAAUAUUCAAUCAAAAACACAUUCAGGUUGUUGCAAAAGAUCUCAUCAAAAGUGUAAUCUUGAGUUUUUUUUUCUUUAGUCAGACCUUGAGAUUUGUGCAUUUUAUUUGCCUUCAAGUUUAGUUGAAGGGAGAGAUGUAUUUGGCC